GUCCCCGCCCUGAGGGAACGGCCAGGAUGGCGGCGGGAAGGAGAGGCGCGGCGGGCGGACGCUGAGGAAACCGAGGGACGGUGCUGCCCUGGAAAGGAGACGACGCCCAAUCUGUCUGCGACCAACUUUUCCCCUGUAGAGAUGCCCAUCUGCGGGGCAGGACCGAGACAACGCUGCGUCAGCUGGAUAUCUGGGACAAAAGUAACCCGAACCCAUCGGCAGCGUCACCACAAAACUGCCGAGCGCUGCCUCAGUGCCGCGCAGAGCUGAUACGCGGUGUAUCACAGCCUUCCCUUCGAGCGAGGCGCGCCAUCACUGCCUUCAGGUGGCAGAAACGUCCCCCUCAGAUCCCUCCUCGGCAGCACCGCGUAUUAUUCUUGCACUAAUGUGCUUUUCCAGCCCUGGAGCCAUCCAGAGUUGAUCGUAUUCCCGCGUACGUACUUAGAAAUUGGCUAAUAAACAGAAUGCUUUCCUUUUAAUUAGAGCCGUUUUUCUAACACAAGCCCUUUGUAAAUAGUCUACAAGUGAAUAAUUAGUAUAAGGAAAUCACCAGAAAAUGUAAAAUUUAAAUCUAGCUUAAUCAAGUUGAAUUAAUGAAGCCUUAGACUUCUAUAAAACCUUUGAACAUGCUCCUGUUGUUAAUAAAGCGAGUGCAUUAGAUUAAUAUAACCCCUUCUGGAACCUGCUCUGUUUAGUGUUUAAGGAAUGAUUUUAAUUAGACUCUUCAUUCUGUGGAAACAUUAGGAAGGGAGAAGAUGUAUUAGUUGGCUUUGGAGUUUCACAGGAGCAGUGGACAAACCUGUCCCGUGUGUAGGGACUGAAGCUGUGGUUAGCACAGUGAGGUACAGAGGUCGGUCUGCCCACUGCUGUGUUGGGGGCUUGUAGAGGGUCUUCCUCUUUCUUUUCGGUCCUCUACCCUCCCCCUGAGGCUGGGUAUCGGUACAUGGAGCCCAGGGAGCUGGAAGAGUUGGACAAGGUUCACUUGGCUGAAUGAGUCCUGCAGCCAGGAGGGAUGGGGCUGGCAGUAGCCAACGCUCACAGCAUGUGUGCGCCCAAAGGCCAAGGGGGUCUGUCCGUGCUGGCAGCCCUCUGCCUCCCCCCCAGUCAGAGAUGGCCCUCAGAGUAGCAGCAAGGUCACUGCUGCUCAAAGUGAUGCUACUUUGCAGGCACUGGGUGUUAGGUCUUACAGGACUCCCUUCACUAUAGAGCACGUGCACUCAGAUGUGGGAUCAAGAGAAAAGCCUUAGAAAACUCUAUUUUAUGCUAGAGAAAGGAGUGCAAGAGAUUAAGCAAAGAUCUGCUCCCCUGCAGAAGCAAGCUUCUUGUUCCAGGGUCACUUGUGACCCCACCAUUACCAUACUGGGUACCUGCAGUCCAUAAAAGCGAGCGUACAUACAACCUCCACCCAACAACGCAGUUUGGGACUAAUACCUGAAGCUUUUGAAAAAGACUCUUAGAAAUGGUAACAUCCAGUUACAGUUAAAGGUACUUUAAUUCCUUCCAAUAGAAGGAUAGCUUGAAGGUACAUCAGAAAUGAUUUCAGGUUUUCUUUUGGAAAAAAAAAAAAAGACAUGGCUUCAAAAUUCAGGAACAGCAUCAGAUAAACAAAGUGCUACCAUUAUGCACCUGUUUUGAAGUGGUACAAAGAGAAGCUUACAGGUUCAAACAAAUGGCAUGAAUGACUGAGAAAUCGAUUCAGAUAAUGCUUGUUUACAGGGACAAAAACCUGUAUUGACAACUAUGAAUAAGCAUACAUGUUAAAAAACCUAACUAUUUACACACAUGGAUAUAUUUGCUUUCUUUUGGCACUAGAAAUUACAGACAAAAGAUUCCAUUUUAUAGCAAUUAAAAUUCAAACUUAAAAUAACCUUCAAGUCGUUUAAGUCAUUUAAGUACAGUAACUUUAAAUUGCCACCAAUUCCAUAUUUUAACCCUGGAAAUUCAAGCCAUAAAGCCUAAAUUCAGCUUCCACCCGUGACAAGUUUCACUCAGUAGGAUCAACUGCAUGUGAGGAGCUCAAGCAGCAUUGGAGAAUUAACAAGAGAUAGAGACAUGUUCAAUAGAAAUUAAUCUCCCAUCCUUAUCCAGGGUGGACAUUACCUCUCAAUGCUUUUUUGAAUGCAUACACAGAUGAAAUCAAGUAAAAACGGGCACCCAUUACUUAUAUUCAGUCAAAUUAGACAUUACGUGAACAGUCAGAGCGCAUGAUGCCCAUCUGCAGUAUUUCUUCAGUGUUGGUGAGAAAUGUGUUCAUCCCUAUUCAUUCCUAUUGUCAGAAAAAAAUAUUUAAGAUUACAUUUAAAUAUGGUUUACUUUUUUAGUACAUUAGUUUACUCUUCAGCUGUUGCCAGUAGUAAACCCUUCCGUUUCACAGGAAGAUCGGUAUCAUCAGUACAGUAGCAAGAAUGUUUUGUCAUCCUGUAAAAUCCAUGCAAUCCACUGUAAAGGGAUAAGGAAACCUUGAAAGAAGCAUUUGAAUAUCCAGACUUUCCAUUUCCUGCUCAUGGCAUUUUGACUUUACAGAACCUGAAGAUUUGAUUACUUUCCAAACAGUUUUUAUAGGUUUUCCAACAAUAACAGACAUGUUAGCAACAAUGGCACAUUUUCCUUUUUCUUUUUUCCACAAAGCAUUAAAUUAAGACUAGCUAGGUUCUUUUCCUUAAAGAUCUACAAUCAAUUAGGAAUACAUAAAAAUUAACAUUUGUGAGGCAUCAGGGCAAGUAAUAAUAGCACAUCAACCCGCCACCGCAACAGGUAGUGGACUUCCAUCUUAGAGCAAAAAGGAAUCAAACAAAAAAAAUUAUAGGCUUCUUAACUAUCUGUUCUCUCUCUAGAUGGCAAAAAAAAACAUUACAGUUAGUAUUUUGUUUUGCUUUGCAAGAAGCAAGACCUGAGCAGAAGCUUUUGUUGAGAUGGAAUAAAGUAGAUGAUCUUAUUUUGCAUUGAUCGCAUGCAGACUGGAUGUUGUAUCGCCUCCGGUAACCGGACUGAAUCCAAGAUGGACCCAACACUUACAGAACACUCUCCCCUUUCCUAUGUUAUUUGGGCAUGUCUCAAGAAGGGAUUAAUCUUGCUCUGCUAAGUGUAUUCCUAAGCAUUAAAAAAAAAAGAGAAAAGCAGAAUUUGAUUACGGCAAAUUCUGUAAGGAAAAGGAAUCAGGGAAUAUAAGAGCAAGUCUUCCCAGAAGACAGUCUUCUCUACACAUCCAAAGAGAACUAGCUGUUUGAAUUUGAGAUUAGCUAAUACAAUCUUUUAAAUAUUUCAAAAGCACAGCAUGUUAAAACAACUUUCAUUACACUUUGUGAAAUACCAACAACCUCUACGUGAAAUCAUUACAAGCUAUUCAAACACAGUCUCUUAACAUGGGGGGAGAAAAAAAAAGUGUAUCUAAAGCAUAUUUACACGCUGCUACCAAGGAGAGAAAGCAGUAAGUAGCAGCUUCUUUAUACAAAAGCUUCAAAGAAUCUUGCUAAUUGAAAUAACCCAAAAAGUUUGCUUGCACUGAGUAUUUAUUUUCACCUGAACAGAAUUUCAGAACCACAGAAAAUCUUACUAGAGCCCAUCCCAUCUUUUUAUUCCGAGUUUGCAUGGUCUUCUCAUGCAAACUGAUUUACUUGAGGUACAGUACUCCAAGUUACUACUAAAACAGCUGAGUCAAGUGGUUUUUCUUUUUGCAGAAUGUGAACAUACACUUUAUCUUCAUACAAGGCAUAUGCACUACAGCCUCAUCUUAUGACUGCCACAUAAUUCAAGAAACGGAGUGCGCAGCAGUAACUGCCAGAUGGAGCACUUUCCAAGUACUGAAAUAAUGGAACCUAAAUGAACUGAUUAUCAGUCCACAGAACCACAAGGUUGCAUUGCACUACAUAAAUACUGACCAAAUGCCCCCCAAAAUGCCAAGAAACUAUGUGCAAGUCCAAAACAGAAUAUUACAACUGUUUCUUUCAGUGAAGACCAACCAGUCCCUUUGUGUACACAUUUAGUUUUAUUGUAACAAAGCAACUUGUACACUUUAACGUUUAAAACUGAGCAUCUUUCUUUCCUUUCCAGUGAAACAAAAAAAAAAAAGAAUUUAAAAAUAAACAAGAACAAAAUUACAAUAGAGAAUGUCAAUUCCAAAUAAGAUCCUACAGGUUCUGCUGAUUCUCCAUCAAGUGGCAGGGCUCAAAGUCAUCAUUAGGAGAAGAUUUUAUUUUAAAAGUGUCAUCUUAAACUGCAAGGAUGUUUGUUAAACAUCACAAUUAAACAUGCCAAAGGAGAAGAAGCCAUGUUGUCAAAAUGCCCACUUACCCCACCCACACAUCUGAAACCCACCCCAGGCUGACCUUCUAUAACCCCAUUUUUUUUUUUUUAGCUUUUUCUUUUUUUUUUUAAA